UACGGGGGGGCAAGCGUUGUUCGGAAUUCCUGGGCGUAAAGGGCUCGUAGGCGGCCAACUAAGUCAGACGUGAAAUCCCUCGGCUUAACCGGGGAACUGCGUCUGAUACUGGAUGGCUUGAAUCCGGGAGAGGGAUGCGGAAUUCCAGGUGUAGCGGUGAAAUGCGUAGAUAUCUGGAGGAACACCGGUGGCGAAGGCGGCAUCCUGGACCGGUAUUGACGCUGAGGAGCGAAAGCCAGGGGAGCAAACGGG
rnacentral:rRNA from 1 species